GACGAACGCUGGCGGCGUGCUUAACACAUGCAAGUCGAACGGAAAGGCCCUGCUUGCAGGGUACUCGAGUGGCGAACGGGUGAGUAACACGUGGGUGAUCUGCCCUGCACUUCGGGAUAAGCUUGGGAAACUGGGUCUAAUACCGGAUAGGAGCCAUCUUUAGUGUGGUGGUUGGAAAGUUUUUUCGGUGUAGGAUGAGCUCGCGGCCUAUCAGCUUGUUGGUGGGGUAAUGGCCUACCAAGGCGGCGACGGGUAGCCGGCCUGAGAGGGUGUACGGCCACAUUGGGACGGAGAUACGGCCCAGACUCCGACGGGAGGCAGCAGGGGGGAAUAUUGCACAAUGGGCGCAAGCCUGAGGCAGCGACGCCGCGUGGGGGAUGAAGGCCUUCGGGUUGUAAACUCCUUUCGCUAGGGACGAAGCUUUUUUGUGACGGUACCUAGAUAAGAAGCACCGGCUAACUACGUG
rnacentral:rRNA from 1 species